rnacentral:misc_RNA from 1 species
GAUGAAGAACGUAGCGAAAUGCGAUAAGUAAUGUGAAUUGCAGAAUUCAGUGAAUCAUCGAAUCUUUGAACGCACAUUGCGCCCGCCAGUAUUCUGGCGGGCAUGCCUGUUCGAGCGUCAUUUCAACCAUCAAGCCCCGGGCUUGAGUUGGGGACCUGCGGCUGCCGCAGGCCCUGAAAUGCAGUGGCGGGCUCGCUGUCACUCCGAGCGUAGUAGUUACAUCUCGCUCUGGGCGUGCUGCGGGUUCCGGCCGUUAAAAGCCUUAUUUACCCAAGGUUGACCUCGGAUCAGGUAGGAAGACCCGCUGAACUUAAGCAUAUCAAUAAGCGGAGGA